AGGACACUGUGGAAGGUCGACCGUUGGAGGAGUCUGGAUGGUAUUAUGGAAGCUCGAACAAUCGGGGGAGUUCAGAAAGAUACCGCACAAGGUCGGAAGUCGGAAGAGCCCUGGGAGGGUCGGCCUCCUACGAACUUCGGCUGGGGUUAUUUUAUACCCAACAGAAAUAAUGUUCAAUACAAAGGAAGGAUAAAAGUGACAUUCACUAAGAAUA
rnacentral:lncRNA from 1 species